ACAGUACAAACUGAGCAGGCGAUGGGCCGCCGCAAGGCGGUUCGUGGGGCUGGGCCGCAUAGCGGCAGCGGAUAAAACACAUCCGCGGGACAGU
rnacentral:ncRNA from 1 species